rnacentral:tRNA from 1 species
GCCGGUUUAGCUCAGCUGGUAGAGCAGUUGAUUUGUAAUCAUCAGGUCGUUCGUUCGAGUCGGACAACCGGCACCA